CUCCUCUCAGGGAGGAGAGCCUGUGGUUGCUUCUCCAGAAGAGGAUCUGGAGUGAUUUGCCCCUGUGUUACUCUGUGUCCUCUGUGCUCGGGAGGUCUAGUCUCUCUAACUCCUAGAGAUCCGGAGCGACAGCAUUUCCACACCGGGUGUCAGUGAGGCCUCUGCAUUUCCGUGCCUGCAGCUGUUAUCUGGGCAGUACAACCUCUGUUGACACCGGACACUUGGAGCACAGUCUGGGAUCACAAAGCUGAAGCCCACCGAGCCUGCUCAUAAUCAGGGAACAAGUCCUGAGCACUGCCCAAGGACAAAGCAGCUGGGGCUGCCUCCUUCAGACCUGACAAGAUGCCUCUUAAGACUUCCAUCCGAAAUACGUAAAACAAGCUCCUGAGAGGUGCCGAGUAAACCCAAGAUCUGGCUUACUGGCU
rnacentral:lncRNA from 1 species